AUUUAAGAUGUGUAUCUGCUGUAAAUAUGGAGAUAACAUGAGUAGGCUUUAGGUGGGCGUUUAACGAGUAUCUUGUAGCCCAUAAAGAGCCCUACAUACAUGA